rnacentral:rRNA from 1 species
CUACGGGGCGCUCCAGUGGGGAAUAUUGCACAAUGGGCGCAAGCCUGAUGCAGCCAUGCCGCGUGUAUGAAGAAGGCCUUCGGGUUGUAAAGUACUUUCAGCGGGGAGGAAGGGAGUAAAGUUAAUACCUUUGCUCAUUGACGUUACCCGCAGAAGAAGCACCGGCUAACUCCGUGCCAGCAGCCGCGGUAAUACGUAGGGUGCAAGCGUUAAUCGGAAUUACUGGGCGUAAAGCGCACGCAGGCGGUUUGUUAAGUCAGAUGUGAAAUCCCCGGGCUCAACCUGGGAACUGCAUCUGAUACUGGCAAGCUUGAGUCUCGUAGAGGGGGGUAGAAUUCCAGGUGUAGCGGUGAAAUGCGUAGAGCGCUGGAGGAAUACCGGUGGCGAAGGCGGCCCCCUGGACGAAGACUGACGCUCAGGUGCGAAAGCGUGGGGAGCAAACAGGAUUAGAUACCCCAGUAGUC